rnacentral:rRNA from 1 species
CAGCCGCCGCGGUAAUACGGAGGGUGCAAGCGUUAAUCGGAAUUACUGGGCGUAAAGCGUGCGUAGGCGGUUCGUUAAGUCUGUUGUGAAAGCCCCGGGCUCAACCUGGGAAUGGCAAUGGAUACUGGCGAGCUAGAGUGUGUCAGAGGAUGGUGGAACUCCCAGUGUAGAGGUGAAAUUCGUAGAUAUUGGGAAGAACACCAGUGGCGAAGGCGGCUCACUGGACCGACACUGACGCUGAGGCGCGAAAGCGUGGGGAGCAAACAGGAUUAGAUACCCGCGUAGUCCCUGUCUCUUAUAC